UACGUAGGGUGCAAGCGUUAAUCGGAAUGACUGGGCGUAAAGGGUGCGCAGGCGGUCUGCUAAGACAGAGGUGAAAUCCCCGGGCUUAACCUGGGAAUGGCCUAUGUGACUGGCAGGCUAGAGGAUGGCAGAGGGAGGCGGAAUGCCACGUGUAGCAGUGAAAUGCGUAGAGAUGUGGCGGAACACCGAUGGCGAAGGCAGCCUCCUGGGCCAGUCCUGACGCUCAGGCACGAAAGCGUGGGGAGCAAACAGG
rnacentral:rRNA from 1 species